RGUUAGAGAUAAAAAAUCUCCGUAGUGA
rnacentral:tRNA from 1 species